rnacentral:lncRNA from 11 species
CCUGCCUCUACUGAGAACACAAAACAAGCCAGCUCCAAGGGCUAAAAAUAGACUGUUCCAUUCGGAAUGCAAACUAUUCAGUCUUCAAAACUAUUUAUACAGUGUGAAUUAAUUGCAGAUGGCCAAUUCGUAUAGCAAGGUCCCAGCAACCGAUAAGAAAAGUGCUACUACCUUCGCCGGAUUGAAACCAGGAAAGUCCAGAAAAAGCAAACACAAUUUUUAGAAUCAUAGAAUUGGAAGAUGCCACAAGGGCCAUCCAGUCAACCACCUGCUCUGCUCUUCCAUCACUAAAGGGAAAAAUGGCCCCGCUACUGUUCCAAACAAGGAGCAGAAGCCUGUUCUCAACGAAAGAUCAUCCAAGGCUAACAUCACAUAAUCUCAAAUAUUUGCAAGAAGACAUGAUAAAUGGAAUGGAGAUGGAGAACAGUUUAUUCAUAUAUGUUUUUGCAAAACUAAGGGGAUGUUUUAAAUAAAACGCACACAAA